AUUGGUUGCUACCUUGUGAACAUGUGAUAUACUAUGCAAGGUUUAAUGACUUAGAAGGCUGCCAAAUAUCAAGGGAAUGAGGGAAUGUAUCAUAAUGUAUUAUAACAGAGCAACUUAAUAACUAUUUUAUCAAAAACUUGCACGAAACAUGGAUGGUCCAGCUUCAAGGUGUAGUCAUUAACUUGCCUGUUCAAGUUUGUAAUGUGGGUCUAGUUUGGCAAAAUUGAAUGAUUUCUUCCUUAGUUUAUCAUUACUUGAUUGCUCAGCUUCAGAAUACCAUACCUAUAUACUACUGUCUACCAAUGUCUUGAACCUUCCAUACACUAUGAACUUAAAACUACUGCAGCAACAACCCAAAUAUUUUCAGGUUUCCUACAUGAAUCCUCUUGUUUUCGUUCAGCUAUAGUAAGGGCCAUAUAGUAUUUUCAUGUGCUAAACUAGUGUCAGUUAGUUAAUACCAUGUCUUUCCCUUUCUGUGUAGUUUAGGUCAAACUUAGUAUUAGCCACUCCUUUAAUUAUGAUCCUGGUGGCGCAAAGUGGGGAUCUCGCUGCUGUUAGGGGGAUUUUGGGGGAGAUUGAUUCUCAGAUGACGGGGACCGGGGUUGAGUUUGACGCAGAGGGAAAUAUUAAAACUUGUGGUUCUGUCCCUCUUUCGCACAUGGAGCAGGCUUACUGCAAACAAAAGGAGCAAAUGUCUUAGAAAAUGGAUCAAGGAGGAAGAAACAUGAGCUUGUUGAAGAAACAUGAUGCUUCAACAACUUGGAGGAGUAAAUGCAAUUGGAUUCUAUAAAUUAUGCAAAGUUCAUCAAGUUAUGUAAACAAUUGUAUUCUUUAUUAUCUAUGUAAAGAAUUUAUGUAUCUCUCUAGUAUUUUGGUGAAUGUAUUAUUUGAAUGUAAUUAUAUUUGAUAUUGAAAUAUAAUUAGAUCGAUUGUGUUGG